UACGAAGGGGGCUAGCGUUGCUCGGAAUCACUGGGCGUAAAGGGCGCGUAGGCGGAUUGUUAAGUCAGAGGUGAAAGCCCAGGCUCAACCCUGGAAUUGCCUUUGAUACUGGCAAUCUUGAGACCGGAAGAGGUUAGUGGAACUGCGAGUGUAGAGGUGAAAUGCGUAGAUAUCUGAAGGAACAUCAGUGGCGAAAGCGACUUCCUGGACCGACACUGACGCUGAGGCGCGAAAGCUAGGGGAGCAAACGGG
rnacentral:rRNA from 1 species